UACAGAGGGUGCGAGCGUUAAUCGGAUUUACUGGGCGUAAAGCGUACGUAGGCGGCCUUUUAAGUCAGAUGUGAAAUCCCUGAGCUUAACUUAGGAACUGCAUUCGAUACUGGGAAGCUAGAGUAUGGGAGAGGAUGGUAGAAUUCCAGGUGUAGCGGUGAAAUGCGUAGAGAUCUGGAGGAAUACCGGUGGCGAAGGCGGCCCCCUGGACGAAGACUGACGCUCAGGUGCGAAAGCGUGGGGAGCAAACAGG
rnacentral:rRNA from 1 species